GAUGAACGCUGGCGGCGUGCCUAAUACAUGCAAGUCGAGCGAACAGACGAGGAGCUUGCUCCUCUGACGUUAGCGGCGGACGGGUGAGUAACACGUGGAUAACCUACCUAUAAGACUGGGAUAACUUCGGGAAACCGGAGCUAAUACCGGAUAAUAUAUUGAACCGCAUGGUUCAAUAGUGAAAGACGGUUUUGCUGUCACUUAUAGAUGGAUCCGCGCCGCAUUAGCUAGUUGGUAAGGUAACGGCUUACCAAGGCAACGAUGCGUAGCCGACCUGAGAGGGUGAUCGGCCACACUGGAACUGAGACACGGUCCAGACUCCUACGGGAGGCAGCAGUAGGGAAUCUUACGCAAUGGGCGAAAGCCUGACGGAGCAACGCCGAGUGAGUGAUGAAGGUCUUCGGAUCGUAAAACUCUGUUAUUAGGGAAGAACAAAUGUGUACGUAACUAUGCACGUCUUGACGGUACCUAAUCAGAAAGCCACGGCUAACUACGUG
rnacentral:rRNA from 1 species